rnacentral:lncRNA from 1 species
UCUCUCAUAUUUCUUUGUAAAAAACACUCUCCUGUAUAUAAUUUUAUUGAAUAAAAUCGGAAAAGGUCAGGCAUUGGCCACAACCUCGGCUUGUUCAGGUACUUUAAUUUUUAUUAUUGUUUUAUUCCUCUAAUAUCAGUAUUCAUUUAGCCUAAAUGAUAGGAAAAAUAAUGUUGUGUUGAGCUUAGACAUACUAAGCUACUACUAACAUAUUUUGCUAUUAUUAAGUAUUGUAUCACCCGACGGUUCUAAGGUUGAGACUAUAGAGCCCAGGUAACAUGAUAGUCUAGGCAGUAAGUCCAGGUUAUGGAAACAUAACCAGAGGUCCCUUUAAGAAGACUCGGUGUAGCCAAGGAGGGCGUUAAGGGUCGUUUGGGAUUCAGGGUUUGGACUCGCUUGACAGGACUAUUAGCUUGACAUAGCUGGUGUCUCUGUAAAUCCCUAUAGCUCCGUCGAAGUGAUCCAUGUGCUUACUUGGUAUCAGUAUAAAUUUUUAAAUAAUAUAAUUUGUAAGAAAAUAUUAUAGAUUAUACAUAUUAAUGGAUAAUUCAAAUAAAAGUGUAAUUAUUGAGAUACAAGAUAAUUAAAUACAUAUUAUAUUAUGGUAAAAUUCAUAUUAUAUACUACAUUAAUAUUCAACUUUCACCUCUAGUAUGCUCCCAUAAAUAAUCUAUUAAUGCAUUACGAAGUACAAAAUGAGCAUCUUUGUCCUUAAUUCUUUUGUGUCGAGCUAAAAAUUAUUCAAAUAGGUGAUUUUCAUCUACUACCGUUUCUACCGUUGGAGGUGGACAUUCCCAAUCAUCUUGAAUUGGUGCAUUAAAACCACACUCAUCCUCGAUUAUCAUGUUGUGUGUAAUGACCCGACCGGUUGUUUUGCUUUCUAGAUCCUCGUUCCCCUAAUUAAGACUCGCCGUAUGUGCUUUUACUAUUUUAUGACCUAUGAAAAUUGUUGGUUUAGCUUUGGAAGGGUUCGAGUUGAAAUCGGAACACUUAGUUCCUUAAUAAUAGCCUAUAAUGGUUAAGUUAGACUUGCGUCAACAUUUUGAGUAAACAACCUUGGAACCAGGAUUUGACGGUCCCAGUAGGUGCGUAUGAUGAUUUUGGACUUGGGCGUGUGUUCGGAUCGGGUUUCGGAUGACCCGGGAGCAUUUCAGCACUUAAUAUUAAAGGUUUUCCAAGUUCUUUAAGUUUGUUUGGAGUAUACUCUGGUGUUAUCGAGGUACAUUUAGGAUUAUGAGCCUGAGAAUAGUUCUGUAUGGUGAUUUAUGACUUGCACGCAAAAUUUAACGUCAUUCGGAAUUGAUUUGAUACGAAUCAGACGCACGGAAGUAUUUUUAGAAGUUUUUGAGUUUCAUGUUGAAUUCAUGCUUUUUGUCAUCCGAUUCGUAAUUCUAGAUGUUAUUUUGGUAUUUUGAUCAUGGGAGCAGGUCCGUAUUAUGUUGUUGGAUGUGUGAGUGUAAUUGGAUGGGGUCCCAGGGCCCCCGGAUGCAAAACGGAUUGGAAUCGGACUCGGAUUUGGACAUGGGGGAACUUAUGGUGCUUCAGGUCUGGUGCGUUCGCACCUAUGUGGAUUUGGCAACAGGUGCAAGCUCGCAGAAGCGAGCCUGUGAUCGCAGAAGCGGCCUGCGAGUGGGCUUGGUAGUGGUCCGCUGAAAGAAAGAAUAUUCCGCAGAAGAGAACUCGCUUCUACGAUGAAGGGUCCGCAGAUGCGAAGGAAAUCCACCCAGGCCUGGGUUCGCAGGUGCAACCAUCCUAUCCGUAGAAGCGAGACUUAGUACGCAGAAGUGAGGCAAGCUGUCAUGGGAAAGGGCCGCACCUGUGAGGAUGUUUCCGCAGACGUGGAGCCACAGGUGUGACUCUUUUGCUUGCAGGUGCGAAAAUCGCUGGGGCAGUGAGGUUUUUAAUCCGAGACUUAGGCCAUUUUUCCUCACAUUUCAUUUGGUCUUGGGUGAUUUUGAGAGCACAUUUGAGGGGGAUUCUUAUCAAUAUCCUAAGGUAUGUAACUCCCACCCAUUUUCAAGUUAAUUAUGCAGACAUGGAAAAUUGUGCAAACUUGUGGGAUUUGUGAAGAACCUAGGGUUUUGGUAAAAAUGAGAUUUGACCACAAAAAUGGUUAUGGAAUUAAGUAAAAAUUAUAUAUUUGAGUUCGUGAGGCUGUGGGUAACAAUUAUAUUCAAAACUUUUCGGAAUCGAGGCACGUGGGUUCGAGGUAAAUUUUAGGAAUCUUCCAAUUUGGGUGGGAUAAUUACUCUAAUAGCUAAAUUAUUAACUUUUGAGUACAUAUUGAUUAAAUUAUAUAACAUUUGACUAGUUUCGGAUUGUUUAUCAUCGACUUGGGGCGUUUAGAGCGGAUUAGUGGACCGGAAAUGAGCUUGGAAACGAGGUAAGUCUCUUGAUUAACCUUGUACGAGGGAAUUUAUCCCCUUAGGUGUAUUAUUGUUGUGUGUUAUUUGUGUGGGGAGCUACGUACGCAUGAGGUGACGAGAGUCCGUGCGUAGCUAUAUUCCAUGAUAUAUCCGGGUAGACUUAGAUUCACAUCAUGCUUCUGUACUAUUGAAAUAUAUCAUGCGUAUUACUUGUCUUGAUUAGAGGUGAGAGUGGGGAUUGAAUUUGCAAUUAUCGACUUAGCCUUCUUAUUUCGAAAAAUUGGGGAAUACUAAAUAAACUUUGAUAAAUCCAUGUCCUCUCGUCUUGCAAGUACUUCCGUGAGCGAGGUAAACUUCUAUACUCUUAUGGGAUCGGGUCGUUCGCCUCGGCAGUAUGAUAACACCACUCUUAUGAAAUCGGGUCGUUCGCCUCGGCAGUAUGAUAACACCACUCUUACGGGAUCGGGCCAUCCGCCUCGGUAGUAUGAUGGUAACACUAUUCUUAUAGAAUCGGACUGUUCUCCUCGGUAGUACUGAGUACAACUAUUCUUAUGGGAUCGGGUCGUUUGCCACGGCAACUUCGUGCUUAACAAUAGAAACGGGUUCCAUCUUAGGUAUUAUUGAGUUAGUGCCUUCACGGCCAGUUAUAAGAUGUUGGUGAUGUGUUACGAACUCCUGUUGUAUUUAUUGUAGUUGCUUUUAUUUGUCUCAUUGAUACCUAUUAUAUGUUCACCAUGUCUACUUUAUGCACUUCUAUUAUUUUAUUGACCUCUAGUAAGUGUCAAGUCGACCCCUCGUCACUACUUCUUCGAGGUUAAACUAGAUACUUACUGGGUACGCGUUGUUUUCCGUACUCACGCUACACUUCUGAACUGAUGUGCAGGUACUGAGACAGGUUCCACCAGUGGUCACGCAUGCACGUAGUUGAUCAUCUACGGAGACUUAGUGGUUAGCUGCUUGCCUUGCUACGAUUCGCAGCACCUGAGUCUCCUUCUAUCUUAUUUACUAUCCCUGUCUAUCACUUUCGGGCAGUAUUUUUAGUAGUUUUGUAUAUUUUCUAUAUUUCUCAUAUACUUGUGACACUGGAUUUUGGGAAUUUGUAGCACUUAUGUACUGCUGUAGUUGUUAUUUCCACCACCGCGGAGUAUGUAUUUAUUAUA